UCUAAGGAAGCUGUGGAACUGGUAAGACGCCUGACCUGAUCAGGAUGAACCUUCCCGUGCUUUUUAGAACAUAGAUGGCGCCAGUCAGGCGACCAUCGAAACGUAAUACGCCACGGAAUUACUUCGGUAAUCGGAUGGUAUGGCGAGGUUCGCCGUCCACGUUUCUCUUUCUUCAAGAAGACAAAAGCCGCAUCGACCGGUACCGGAAUGGGCCCGUAGCUCAGUUGGUUAGAGCACACGCUUGAUAAGCGUGGGGUCGGAAGUUCAAGUCUUCCCGGGCCCACCAUUUGCAUAUGCGAAUGAGGGUUUGGGUUGAGACUGUUGGUUGAUGCGAAUUGUUGCCGCGCCUGGUUGAUGAGACUUGGGUGAUCGAGCUGGAUGGGGCUGUAGCUCAGCUGGGAGAGCACCUGCUUUGCAAGCAGGGGGUCAGCGGUUCGAUCCCGCUCAGCUCCACCAUUUGUUUUGUCCUGACGCUGUCGCGAUCUUACGAUCGCUGCGCUCCGGACGGGCCGCGCCACGAGGCGCGACGGACUAUCGUCCUGUAUGGGCGGAUUGAUCCGAGGUCGAGUGUGGCAGCAAUACAGCGCGGUAGCGCGUCGCCAAUUGUUUGGCGCCCUCACGGAGCGCCUUCGGCGCGUGAGUGCAGAAUUGUCUUCUGAAGAAAUAAAAGUUUGCAUCGUCCUGCUAAGGAUUGAUGCCUGUUCUGAAUACAUUGUGAAGAGAAGAUAUGUCUGGAAGCUUCCAGGUGUUUUGAGCCCUUGUGGUUUGAAGCGUCCGAGCCCAGUCCCAGAGAAACCAUGAGAUGGCUUAGUCGGCCGGAAUUGGUGGAGGGAUUGGAGGUAGGAAGGAAAGCUUGUCCGAGGCAUUUUUGUUGUUUGAAGGUUUAGGCCUUCAUCUGAUGGAAAUGCUGGAUUGGUGUUGCCUGACCGCGCAUCACCGGAUGAUAUCUCGAGAAGCUGGUCUUAAUGGUAUGGCUUCGAGGUGCACCGGCGUGCCCUCAAGGAAGACCAUACCGACACGUCGAUGUCAUCGUGACCUGAUCUGGUUGUAAAAGGUAACCGGAUUUGUCGUUCAUCCCUUCGGGAUGGCGACUUGAUGAUGAGCAUAGACAAUGAGAC
rnacentral:tRNA from 1 species